UUAUAUUAAAUACUGUUUGAACAUGAAAAUUAUAUAUUAUUAUAAUUGUUAUUUAAACUAAAAAUGUGUAAAACCCUGGGGCUGCACGUGAAAAACACGCUACCAAAACUGUACUACUAUAUAUACAGAACAUCGAGGUGGGCCUUCAAGUUUAAAUCUCAAAACUAAAGCUGGCUCUCGGUUACAUUUCGCGCCAAACCAGAGAGAGAUUGUAGUAGAAGCGAAAUGGUUCAGCUGUGUUUCGUUCUUGAUCUGCGGAGCUUGGUACCUCCAUUGCUAAGAGACAUAAAGCAGUCGCUGCUUCAACUCGCUAAUUUUUACGCCAUCUCGAGUUCGUCCUCGUCGCACGCGCGCAAAUCAGUAACACUCGGCGAUAAGAUCGGUUUGUGCUACGUCUUCAAGAAUCGUUUAUCUUCUUCUGACGAGUUGGCGGUCGCGUACAAUCCCGUGGGAAACUUCAACCUACGCGAUUUCCACCAUGCUGUUAACAACUUACCUUAUGAUGCUUUUCUGGCUGAUAUUGAUAGCAUUUCCGAUUUAAUGAUUUCAAAUGUUUUGAGUGAACGAGUGUUGUAUUCGUGGCAAGGCAAAGAUAUAGAGAGAAAAGUGAUUGUCAUAACUUCGACCUUGCCUGAAGACAUAGACUCUAUAGUGCAGAAGAGUCUUAUGGAUGCUGCAGAUAAAUGUGUUUCGGUCGAUUUUGCUGUAUUUCAACAGAAGUCGAUCCAUUUGACUGAUACGCGUGAAAACAUAAACAAUUUCCGUCGUUGCAUUUCUCAUCUUGAUAAUUGCUCAGUUCAGACCUAUAUUCCAGAUUUCAGAGUAUUCCACAGCCUUGUUAAAAGAUGGCUGCUGAUUUUGAAAGAUGACAUGGAAGAGCCGUUGCUAGCUCGCCUCAUCUUCAAAGACAAUCUUUUUGAUUCUGUGAAUCAUAUAUUCUGCAACCUGUUUGCACCAGUCAAUCCAAUAACCAACAUCUUCACUCAAUGUCGGACAUGCAGAUGUCAUGGCAUUCCUUUAGGUGAUGCUGAAAAAAAUUUCAGCAGACUUUCUUGCUCAGUCACUGGCUGCAAUCUGGAAACUUGUGAUGUUAUGGAAAAUUCUGUUCAACUUGGGGAAAAAAACAUUCUGUUUCUUCCCUCAUUCUAUAAUUCCCUGAAGCCCCUUCAAAUUUCUUUACCGAUCAACAUUACUGUUACCGAGAGGAUAAAUUUGACAUCUCUUGAUGAAGGUCUUAUAAUAGGUGCCUCAUUUGUUGUGAUACCAUCCUCUUAUCAUCCAAUUGAAACUACUUCAGAUGAUGGUGAUCAGUCUGAUCUGAAUGUUCAACUUUUUCGAGGCCUUUCCAGCUUUCUACAUUCAAUGAACCAAGGUUUAAUAUGCUCUUCAAAUUGUGAUUUAGAAACAAUGGCAGAGGCUCCUUAUCAUUGCUAUUAUAUUCUGCAGCCAUCAGAUACCGGACCAAUGCUUAUGAGGCGCCUUGCAGGGGCAGAAGAAGUCCUUCGAGUUCCUGAUAAUCAAUUAGUUGAUUCAUCAAUCAACAAGGAAAUUGAGAGCUCUGUUCAAGCCUGUUUGCUAAAGAUCGAUCUAACAGACUAUGAUCCAUUGCUGCAUGAAAGAGGCUUUCAUCAAAAACUAAAUGUGCUUGUCAAAGAGAGCCUACAAUUUUGGUCAGUAUUUUCUAAAUCAGAAGGUGCAUUUUCAGAAUUAAGCGCAAGUCAACAGCCUUCGUCAGAGGUGAUGGGUAAAGCAGAACCAGCAACUGGUGUCAUAGUGAAUGAGGAAACUUUGGCAUUGGAUAUUACGGAUCAUGACGACAAAACCAUGGCCUGUAUUACAGAAGAAUGGAAGCAAUUGGUUGUAAGCGAAGACCCCAAGUUGUACUCUCCCUCUAGUAUGCCCAAAGCCAAGUUGGGUCAAUCGAGUGUAUCGCCACGAGAUGGUAAUAGGAAGUUAGACAGAGAAACUUCAAGGAUUUUGGAGAGAUUAGAGGUUCCGAGGCCAUUAAAAGCAAAGACCACCUCUCCUGGUUCAAAUGAAAGUUGCAUGAAAAAUACCAGUGUACCCAUAAAGAAGCCUCUUGUACCAUUCCAGCCAACUCAAGGUACAGAACAAGUCCUUGUUGGCAGCCAGCUAAUGAAACCUAAUUUCCAGAGGCAGAAAAGGAAACAUAAAUGAAAAGAAGGCAACUCCACGUUUCACGAAAACGUAUCUUCAAAAGUCGAUAAGGUUGAAGUGAUGGAGGAUGAAGCUACAAGUAGAGAACAAAACAUUCGAGUGGAAAAGGAUGAAGAUCCAUAAAAUUUGAAAUUUUCAACGGGCGUCCUUAUCACCCUAAUAUUUUUUGGAGUCCAGAUAACAACCCCUCCUUUUUCCCCCGCGUGACAAUAGAUACAAUUUGAUUAUAAAUCUUACAUACUUGUUAUUUGAAGGAAAAUGAUGAAUAGACAAUGCGUUCCUGUUUGAUAUCUAGACAGAGGAAUGUACAUAUGAUAGAUAAUAUAAUACGAGACAAAUAAAAAUAAAUAAUGUCUACCAAGUGUGUGUAAUAUAUGAAUGUACGCAUAUCUUAUGUUCUUAUUUGAACAUCAAAAAAUUAAUAUAGUACUACUUGGUAUUAUACUAUAUAAUCAUCUAUAGUUUUUCAUUUUUUGUCUUUUUUUGCAUGUACACAUUUUAAAAAUACAUCUCAAACUCAAGAUUGACAACUUUUUAUCAUCCCAUCGUAAUGUUCACAUAACAUUUUCCAAAAUACUAAGCAUGUGAGUAGAUGCUUUGGAAAUCCCGGUAGCUGUCAUUGACCCCAAAACCAAAAUCGACAAACAAACAUGCUCUGUAUGAUGCUAAAGUUUCGUUAAUUAAUUUCAAACAAACGUGUUAUGUGCUACCACCAAUUUGUUAUGUGUUAUCCAGCAGCCAUCAA